GGCUGCCUUCCGGUACCUUGUGCACCUCUGCUCCCAUCCAUCCAACUGUGAAUUUGCCCAGAGUGGGAUGUGAUGGUCCCAGACCUGCUCCCGCCCGUUUUGUUAUUGCAAUGGUGUUGUUUUAUUAAACGUGAUGCCAGCUGAUAAAAUAUGAGUGUAAAAAGAGAGUUGCUGUUUCUACGAAAAUGAAGUUGAAUACACGGAUGAGACCACAUAGAGACAAGUUGCUAAGAGGCUAUCAAUCAAACAAGAGGCGGUGACCUCAGGCCAGAUUCCUCCUCUCCUGCUGAGGCCCAGGCCCUCCUCUCCUGCAUCCAUCUGAGCAGAGCAGGAGGUUGGCUAAAGGAGCAUUUCAGAUGAGCAUCAAGCCCACCUGUUUAACGUCCCAGCCUCAGCUGCUGCUUCCUCCGACCCCCCCCCCCCCCAACCAUGGACAAGAUGUGGGGCCACUGCUCUGCCUCCCACCUCCUCUGGGCUCUGCACGCAGCUCAGCUCUCAGAGCCCAGGACACAACCUCCACCUUGUCCUCCUGCGAGAGGGGCUGAGCCUGCCUGCACCCGAGGCGCCCCGCAUCUGCCUGGCACGGUCAGGGCACCCCAUGCGUGCUCCAUGGGUACUCCGGGGUAGGCCACCGAGCAGGUAAGAGAGUGCCCUCCAGCUCCGGCAUCCUACGGUCCUGGGAUCUGAGCGGGCUUCCAUUCCAGCGGCGGACCUUUUCCUGCGUUUUCAGGUUCCUCGCUGCGGGCCCUAGGCAGGGGCUGUAAGUCAUGGGUUCUGACAGCCUGAAUCUGCAGGAGCUAGCAGGGCACGGAGCAGGGAGGGUGGUGCAGGAGGAGAAGGCAGUGCUCCUGAGGCCGGCUUUCCAUCUCCUCCGUGCCCAAGCCCUGGGAAUGUGGGGCGAUGCGGACUUGGCCCGCCGGAGGAAGAAAGAGGGAAGAACGCAGGGUACAGUGUGCAGGGGCGGGCGGUGAUCACAGCCACCUGGCUCUGGAGGGACUGGAUCAGCCAGGGCCAGGGCACCUGCCGACAUGGAAGGCCGAGGGUGGAAGGAGGACCACCAUUCAGGGAUGGGCGAGGGACUGAAGCUGUGAUGGGAGCCCAUCCCAGUGGGCCUGGGCCAGCUAACUCAGGCCCCCCUACUGGUAGCCUGGGAGCUGGGGGCUAUCGUCCAAGCUCCUCCCGCCCCUCACCUGUGGCCCAGAUGCCGUCUAAAGAGGCCUCUGCUGUCAGCUGCAAUCUCUGCUCCUUGGGGGUUCGUCCAUGGCCUAGUUAUUAAGCUUAUCAGCAUUUCUCUUUGGGUCUGGCUGCCCACCAGCUUGUCAGCUCCGCCCGCCUGCCUUGUUCUGUGUGCCAGCCCCAGGGGCCAGCAGGGCUCCUGACACUGAAACCUCUGCCCAGGAAGCUCCCGUUCAGACCCUUCCCAAGGGUCUCAGGCAACACGGAGUCGGGCCCCCUUCCUGAGGGCUGGAGAAGCCCACGUUCAUUUCCAUGUCUGGAGCUAGAUCGACCCUUCUGGAUGCCCUGACGGUUUGACCAAAUGUACACAGCACAUUUGGAGGCUGCCAGGUGGAGGCUCUUUGGAAUUGUCCCAAUACUGUCAUAAAAAUUAAAAAUUCAUCUCAUGCAAAAUAAAAGGCAAGUGUAACUAACCGGCAGGUUGGCUCCACCACCUGAAAGCUGAUGAGGCUGACUGGCUGCAUGGCCCGAGAGCCUUCCCACGGUGCCUCUGUGCACCGAGCAUGCCAACUGCUCGAGCCUCAUACCUGAAACUCUCUGGUCGACAGGUUCACUUCUCUGCCCCCUCCCCACCCCAGGGAACAGGCCCCAGCGGACACCCGGCUUUCCUCCUUACCUGUGGGGAUGCUUUCAUCUCCACCGGCAUGAGGGCAGUUCCUCAAGCCUAAUUUUCAUUCCAACUUCUCCUCGGUGGCCUCCAAAUUAGACAUUGCUGAGCUCACUUGAAUAGGCUGGAAAGUUAAGCCUCCUUGGCUUCGCCCCCUCUCUUUCUAUGAGCUGAAGGGACCAGAAAUCACACACCUUAGAGGUGAUGGAUACACAGAGCGGCUUCACGUAGUUUAUGACUCUAGUGGAGACCAAGGCCAGAUUGUAUAACUUUGCACUAAAUUUCAAGCAGUGCCAACAGUCCCGUGACCCUCGGCGUUUCUCUCACGUGACCCCCAUUGGUCAUCUCACUAAAAUAAUUUUAUGGUGCUCAUCUGGGAGUGUAUUGAUCGUUGAGCAAAGCACAUAAAUGCACACACAGAGUGGUUCCACACACACUGAGACACGUGACCACGUACAUCCAAACCCUCAGAACACUCACGCAGCUCAAAAAUCUCACAUAACAAGAGAUUUGUGGUCCAGCUCCCGCUACAUAAUGGCCUCAUGCUGAGCAGAGUAUAUUCCCAUUUGGGCUCAACCAUGAGACUCACUCUGGCCAUGUGGGUGUUGUCAUCAGGUCCAGCAAACAGCCUGAAAUUUGCUUAUACAGUGGGGUCUGCUCUCUCACUCUGGGGAUCAUCAGAAGAGGUUGCUCUAGGAGCUGCUGCCCCUUCAGCCACGUUCCAGAAUGAGACACGUGGAGCAGACCACAUGGCCUGGUGGUUGCCAGUUCAAAUGCAAUGAAUGACCUACGGGCCCACCUAAUCUCAGACUGCCACCCCGGCCUAAAGCCCAGAGGCAGGAGCCAAAAGCCUAAGCGAGUGCAGCUGAAUUGCAGGUGACCCAAAGACCAAUGAGUAAUUAUGAGUAAUUGUUUUAAGCUACUGAAUUUUAAAGUGGUUUGUUAUGCAGCACUAUUAUGGUAAUAGCUGACUGAUGCAGUACCCAAGCUCAUACAAAGUCUACACAAACACUCAUGUGGAACACACACACACACACACACACACACACACGCACCUUUCCAGUGAAAGGAGCACACCAUCAUCCCAGGAGAUAGGAUGCCAUCCCCCCCCACCACCACCACCACCAGUCUGUGGCCCUCUUUCUCCAAUGUUUCCAGAGCCACCAUCGACACAGCCUGGUCUUCCAAGGCCAGUUUCGUCUUUAGCAUCCAUUACCGUGCAGCUUAGAAUUCGGCACCCUUUAUCUUGUCAAGUUGUUCUCAUGUCCUUUCUGCCAAGAGAGCGCUGCUUUUGAAGCCCUGGCAGCUUGCUAUUUUUUCCCCUUCCUACCCCAGUUGUUGAAUACCUGUCAGACUUGUGACAUCCCAUUCUCUCAAGGGGAAAAAUUAUAGCUGGGAUGUGUGCAAACGAAUCCUCAGAACAUGUAUCGUCCACAUCCUCACUGUUGGCUUCCCUGACGGGCCUGCUUUUCCCACUGUCAUCACAGCUGCUCCGGUGAUGAGCCGCAAACUGAUCUGUUCUGUUAUCACAGGGAAGCAGGUGCCCCUGCUCUCAGACAGUCGCAGCCAGUGGAAGAAGAAAGUCAGGACUAGAAGAGCCCCGUGCCCUCCCUUCUCAGAGCCCUCUGCACACCGGCUCAGGGGCGGGCGCCCCAAAUGCCUGAUGCCACAAUCCAAGCACAAGGCAGCAGUAUCAGGCUGGGCAGCCUUGGGGGGCCCAAGGAAGAUCAGCCAGCCUCACAGGGACCUCUUCUCAGACCCCACCCUGCUGAGGAGGAUCGGAUGCUGUCUACACAGCAGACCAUAUCUUAGGUCACUUGGGAGUAUUUGUUGAUUCAAGUUUGUGCCAGGCCCAGAGAGGAGACACCUAUAGAAAUAGGCCAUGGCCGUGCUCCCCACCCUCACCCCAGGAAGUUAAGCAAGGGCCACCCUGGGAGAUGAUUUUAACUGGAGCCUUAAGGGAUAAAUAAAGGCUUCCAGGUGAAUCGUGGGGAAAGGGAUUCCAGGAAGAGAGAAUGGCAUGUGUAAACAGUGUAAAAAAUGAGGGAGUCUGACGUGUUUGGGGAACUGCAAGGAGUUCAGAACAACUUGACCCACGAUGACUCAGGAAGGGCGUGGGAAUGGGGCUUAGGCAGUCAGCUGAGGCUGCACCAUUAUGCUUCCUUUGCAGCCAGACUCAUGGGUUUGGACCUUUCUGGUUGGCAAUAGGGAGCCACAGAAAGAUUUUAGAGGGGAGAAGAGGGACAAACUUGCCUCUCGUUGGACCCUCCCGUUGCAAGAUAGAAGCUGGAUCAGAGAGAGAUGGGCCAGGAGACAGGAAGGGCGGUGACAAAGCCAGAGGAAAGAGAUGGCAAGGGUCUGGCCUGACAAGGUAGCUUUGGCAGCAGAAGGAGGGAGCAAAGCCCAAUUUCUCUCUCUGCCUUGGCCUGCCUCGGUUUGCUCUCCAUCUGUGAAGGUGAGCAGGUGCCCAUUGCUAAAUUAGAAAGCUAGCUCAGCCUCCUCAUGGUGGCUCCCUCUCCUUCAUCCUCAGCAUCACGGAUAUCACCUCAGAACGCUGACUUCGUUACCUCUUGGAUUCACCCCUCCGCCUCCCUUGCCACCUUCAUCCAGGCCCUAUCAGGUCAGGUGGGCCCUGGAGGAACUGGACCAAAGCCCAAGCCCACUUCCCUUUGGUACCUGCUUCUUUCUCCUGCAUCCGGCAAAUAGUUUGGGAGCAGUAGAGUAGGCCAGGGCCUGAGGUGUUGGGGCCUAUAAGUAGUGAGCAGCACAGAGCAGGGCCUCUGGCCUUCUGGAUUCUUCCCUCCACUGGGGAAAGCAGAUGUUGAACGAAUUGCUACACAGUUAUCAGCACAGACCCCUGGGGGGGAAGGGCUGAUGAAGACCCCUGUGCCAGGGCUGCAGUACCUGCAGGGACCUAGCACAGAACAUUCUAGAGCAGAGGCUCGGAGGCCACCUGGGAGCAUGCAGAGCAAUGCACAGCAUUCCAAUCAGGCUAUGAAUGGGUAAGAGCUUGCAGGAGAAAAGGACAUGCAGGGUGAGGCCAGACUGGGGAGAGGCCAGCGGGCAGGGCAUGCAGGGUGCCUGGCCUGUGCAAAGGGUGGAGAAUGCUCCCUAAGAGCAAGAAAAUGUCACUGUAGCAGGGUGAACCAUGGCUUCCAAAACACAUGCUUGCCCAGAAACUUGGAACAUGACCUUAUUUGGAAUAAGGAUCUUUGCAGGUGUAAAGUAAGGAUCUUGAGAUAAGAUGGUCCUGGAUUCAGGUGGGCCCUACAUCCAGUGAGGGUCCUUAUGAGGAACAGAAAAGAGACACAGGGAGCAGCUCACAUGAAUGCAGAGGUAGAGAUGGACCCGGUGGCCACAAGCCCAGGAACAUCCUGGGGCCACCAGAAGCUGGAACUAGAGCUUCCAGAGAGAGAGAGAGUGCUGUGGCCCUGCUGAUACCUUGACUUGAGACUCUGGCCUCCACAACGGUACAGAUGAUUCUGUUGUUUAAAGCCAAGCUCCUGGCCAUCUGUUGCAGCAGCACUAGGACACCCAGUGGUACACACAAAGGGACUAGUGUCACCUACGCAAGUAUUCCAGAUCUCACCGUGCCCCCCCACCAUCCAACAUGAAUUUGCUGACCACCCACAUCCACCCCUAGACAGCAGACAGAGUUCCAUGGGUCUGAGCAGGACCCUGUGGCUUGAGGAAAGCCCAGCACCUGCGCGUAGGGGUGCGGGGGGUGGAGGGCAGAGGUGGCGCUGGGUGAUCCUGGCUUGCUCACUCCUCCUCAGGCAGAGAUGGGCAACUGUGGGCGACGGCGAUGUGUAUCCAGUCAGCUGGGGCACCCCAGUGCCCUCCAGUUCCCAGGAGGAUCCACGGCCAAGAAGGACGGUAGUCACAGGAAAAGGAGCAAUUAAUCCUGCGCCACCCCAGGGUCAGGAAGGUGCAGGGAAGAAGGCUGAGAGUGGGGGUGUGAUCCCCCAGAGUGAUCCGAACGUGAAGAGGAAGAAAUGGAAAUCCUGGGCUGGCUGGCAGCGCAGUCGCCCACCAGUGCUGUCCCCGGCCCUCGGGCACCUGCUGUGAUCAGCAGAGCCAAGCUGAACACUGAGCCUGACGCCUCCAUGCAGGCCCCACAGCCAGGAAUCCUCAGCCCCUGCCUGGCGUCCGGACCCCCAUCAGGCAGGGGUCAGGGGAGCCAGGCAGUCCAGAGGCCUCAGUGGGACAAGUCAAGACCUCCCUCAGGCUCAGCUUCUCCGACUGCGAAAUGGGCACAGGACACCUGACAAGUCCCCGCAAAGAGCUAUUUUGCUUCGGACCCACCGGCCUCUUUCCUCAUUUCCCUACCCCCUUGGUCCGGACCCCAGCAUCUCACUUGGCCAAACCUCACCUUGGAUGUCUGUUCCUGGCUCCAGACCACAAACUCCAGCGCCAUCAAGAUCCAGUCAUUUUCAUAGUUAGAAAUAAUUGAAUUCAACGGCAUCAUUAUUUUAAAAAUAAAAACAAACCAACCACAAA